UACGUAGGGGGCAAGCGUUGUCCGGAAUCAUUGGGCGUAAAGAGCGUGUAGGCGGCCAGAAAAGUCCGCUGUGAAAACUCGAGGCUCAACCUCGAGAUGUCGGCGGAAACCAUCUGGCUAGAGUCCGGAAGAGGAAAGUGGAAUUCCUGGUGUAGCGGUGAAAUGCGCAGAUAUCAGGAAGAACACCAGUGGCGAAGGCGGGUCUCUGGACAGUUCCUGACACUGAGACACGAAGGCCAGGGGAGCAAACGGG
rnacentral:rRNA from 1 species